UACGUAGGGUGCAAGCGUUGUCCGGAAUUAUUGGGCGUAAAGAGCUCGUAGGCGGUUCGUCGCGUCGGCUGUGAAAACCCGGAGCUCAACUCCGGGCCUGCAGUCGAUACGGGCGGACUCGAGUUCGGCAGGGGAGACUGGAAUUCCUGGUGUAGCGGUGAAAUGCGCAGAUAUCAGGAGGAACACCGGUGGCGAAGGCGGUCUGCUGGGCAGUUGCUGACACUGAGGCGCGACAGCGUGGGGAGCAAACAGG
rnacentral:rRNA from 1 species